AGGAUGAACGCUGGCGGCGUGCCUAACACAUGCAAGUCGAACGUCCUGUCUCGCAAGAGGCAGGGAGUGGCGGACGGGUGAGUACCACGUGGGUCAUCUACCGUGAGGUGAGGAAUACCGGCGAGAAAUCGCCGACAAGACCGCAUAGGCUCGAUGCAAGUCGAGCAAAGCUCUUUCGAGAGAGGGAGCGCCACACGAGGAGCCUGCGCCCGAUUAGCUAGCUGGUGGAGUAACGGUUCACCAGGGCGACGAUCGGUAGCUGGUCUGAGAGGACGAUCAGCCACACUGGGAUUGAGAACGGCCCAGACUCCUACGGGGGGCAGCAGUGAGGAAUUUUCGUCAAUGGGGGCAACCCUGAACGAGCAACGCCGCGUGCAGGAAGAAGGUUUCGGAUCGUAAACUGCUUUUCGUCGGGGAAGAGAACGGACGGUACCCGAGGAAUCAGCCCCGGCUAACUACGUGCCAGCAGCCGCGGU
rnacentral:rRNA from 1 species